ACUACCUUUAUCGCACUGUUCUGGUUAAGUUUUCACGGAGUAGGUCCGGUUGUGUAGCGUUGCCUUUUUUGAGGCUGCGGCCUUUGACAGGCUUAAAAAAAAAAAUAAAAUUAAAGCAAACAUUUUCGGCAAACUCAGCAAAGAAUAUCGAAAUAGUGUGUAAUAAAUAAAAAAAAUGACACGCGGAAAUCAACGCGAAUUGGCCAGGGCUAAGAAUCAAAGGAAACAACUCGAAAGUUCUAAAAAGAAACCUUCCGGGGGGGACGGCCUAACGUUGGAACAGAGAAAAUUUCGGUAAAACAGAUCAUAGAAAGCAACUUUAUUUUUACAUAUUUAAGUUUAGUUUAAAGUGUGUAAUAAGGGUGAGAGUAUCCUGUUUAUAGGGAUGCGGAAAUGAUGAGAGAAAAACAACGCAAAAAAGAAGAUGCGGUACCCAGCCAAAAUAAAAAAUAAGUUUAUCAGGAACUGAUCCAUGUGUCAUUAAAUCUUUUUUUAAUAUUUACCAAGUAUUAUUAACCAUUUAACUUGUAUUUUAUUUCAUAGGUGUAUAAAUAAAAUUUUUAUUAAUUCUA